rnacentral:lncRNA from 1 species
GGCUCUGCUUCUGCCCGCCCGCGGCCCGCGGACUGCGGGUGACAGGGUCCCCGGUCCGAGCCCCAUCUCCCUAGGAGAGCGGACCCCAGCGCUCCUGUACCCUCCACCUGGUGGCCGUCCACGCAGCCCGGCCUGCUCGCGCGUCCCAACUGCCACUUCCCUUGCCUUCCCCAGCCGCACGUCUACCAGGCUCCUGUGUGUCUGCCUGGCUGGGACUUCCGCAUACUCCAGGCCCACUUUACAGUAGCAGCGUUCCCAACAGCCAAAAGGUGGGAGCAGCCCACGGGUCCACGGACGGGUGAAGGGGUGAGCAAACAGUCUAUACGGACAGUGGAGAGCUCUUUAACCGCAGAAAGAAGGAAAUUCUGCAUAUGCUGCAACAUGGAUGAAAGACACAGAGUCUGGCUCUGGGGCCCAGGCUUGAGUGCAGUGGUGAGACGGGAGAAUAAGUCCUAGAGGAAGGGAACCUGAGGACUUCCCAGAACUAAAUCAGAUGGAGAGGAGAGAGGAGGCAUUUCAGCUACGACAGGAAAUAUCCUCUUCAUUUGCAUAGGGCGUUCACCAAGGUGCACACCAAAUAACCAAUGGAAACCUCUAGAGAGUAUUUAAACUCCAGAAAAUUCUGUGACGGGCUCUUGAGCCAACGUGCUCCGGCCGCUCCCACUCUGUGCAGUCGACUGUACUUUUGUUUUCAAUAAAACUCUGCUUUUGUUUCUUCA